UACGUAAGGUGCGAGCGUUAAUCGGAAUAACUGGGCGUAAAGAGCUCGUAGGUGGUUGGGUCCGUCAGAUGUGAAAGCCCCGGGCUCAACCUGGGAACUGCACCUGAUACUGCUUAACUAGAGUACGGUAGAGGGCAGUGGAAUUUCCUGUGUAGCGGUGAAAUGCGUAGAUAUAGGAAGGAACACCAGCGGCGAAGGCGACUGCCUGGACUGAUACUGACACUGAGGUGCGAAAGCGUGGGUAGCAAACAGG
rnacentral:misc_RNA from 1 species